rnacentral:rRNA from 1 species
AACGAACGCUGGCGGCAGGCUUAACACAUGCAAGUCGAACGCCCCGCAAGGGGAGUGGCGGACGGGUGAGUAACGCGUGGGAACGUGCCCUGAGGUUGGGAAUAACUGCGGGAAACUGCAGCUAAUACCUGAUAAGCCCCGCAAGGGGGAAAGAUUUAUCGCCUUAGGAGCGGCCCGCGUCGGAUUAGCUAGUUGGUGGGGUAACGGCCUACCAAGGCUUCGAUCCGUAGCUGGUCUGAGAGGACGAUCAGCCACACUGGGACUGAGACACGGCCCAGACUCCUACGGGAGGCAGCAGUGGGGAAUCUUGCGCAAUGGGGGCAACCCUGACGCAGCCAUGCCGCGUGAACGAUGAAGGCCUUAGGGUUGUAAAGUUCUUUUACCCGUGACGAUGAUGACGGUAACGGGAGAAUAAGCUCCGGCUAACUUCGUG